CAGCGGCUGCCGCCCGGCCCCGCCGCUCCCUCCCCUCUCGCCGCCGCACUCACAGCGUGACCCGGGAGACGGCGAUGCGGACGGGCACGCUGCGCUCCUUGAAGGCGGUGGUGAUGAAGCAGCCGAAGCCAGGAGCCAGGUCUGUGAAUCAGGGGAGAAAAAUCUUUGCAGAUAAAGUGCCGGCACUUCAACAGGAUUGAUCCUUGUCAGCAGCUGAUGAUAAGUAGUCUUUUGAGAGAGAGUAGCUUGCUUUCUUUGGUUGACAUAUUUCUACUCUGAUGUUCAAGUUACGGAGCGAUUCCUUUCAUCAUCUGUAAACAAAACAGCAAGUGUUGACACUGACCAUCAACAGAGAUUGCUAUGAGUUCUUAGUUCUCCCACUGAAGUCAUAUUGGUUCUAACAUGGAACACAUAGAUGGAACCUUUGGGGUGUAUGUUGUGAAUUUCAGGUGAAAGGGAGGUGUUAACUUCAGCCCAGCCCCUUUAGCCUUCUUGGGGCUAAGUUUCUGACUAAUUUUACAGGGGAAAGUUUAGGUGCCUGUGGCAUCUUUGCACCUAGGUAGAUGAGGACCUUUUUUGAUCUAGGGACAUGUAUGUAUGUUCUGAUUUUUUUUUGCCAUAAAUCUCUAAAUAAUUUCUUGUAUUAGUCCUUUAUUAAUUGUUGAAAUGUUAAUUCUUUAAGAGACUGUAGCAGGACGCAGCCUCUUAGGCAGCUCUGGGUAGGAAGAUAAAGAUUAAAAUAAAUGUGGCCAUGAUCAGCUGUCUCUUGCAACAGCCCCCUUUCAGUUAACACCUCUUCUGGAUGGCUCAUUUUUACAGCUGGUGUGGAAAGGCUGUGACUAAGAGAAGAGGCUUUUUGGACUGCAUUUGAUUCUAGUGCUCUCCUCACCUCCAUUUUUUAAACUUUGGAUCUACACAGUAUGCAGAAUAAGAAGAUAAGCAAGAAGAAAUUUUCACUUGUCUUUGUAGUAUUAUUGUGAAUCCUUCAGCACGAAAAUCUCAGGGAAUUUUUAAUGUCUGAUUUCAGAAUGAAGUUGAUCUUCUACAACAUUGUCUCAUUUAAUGGCAUAAUAAUAUGGCAAAAUAAAAGCUGCAUCACAGAGAGAACCAAA